UAUAAAUGAUAUCGCAGAGAAAAGUAAAUUGCAGUUUGCAUGUAAUAGCAGUGUAAUGGUAUUUAUUAAUUAAUGACUUUACAUCAUAAAGAAAGCAUAUUUAGUGUAAUGCUUUGGGGGCACCACUAGGGGUAGUGUGUAGGAAGACAUGUGCUUCUGGCAGUGACAUCACAGGCCAGCCUACUUACACUGAAUAAAACCAGAUGGAGGAGAAAACUCUGUCUCUUUGCCUCUUUGCCUCUUUGCCUGUACCUGAAAGAUGUAGUAGCAGCUCUGACUUAACCCCAGCCAAAGGGCUGGGGCCUUGUAAGUAAAAUGUUGUGUAACAUGUAGCAACCUUUUGUAAGUAUUAUGUUGUAGUUUUGUAUUGUAUCAUAAUUGUAGUAAAUUGACAUUCUGCU